rnacentral:lncRNA from 10 species
AGGGAGAAAGCAAAAUUCUGUCUGCUGGAGAAUAUGGAAGGGGCUGGCUGGAGGCCCGAGUAGGAGGCCCCACCCUGAGAUGAGAAAUGUGUCAGGGUCCCACUUAAACAAGCAGUCUGGCCACAUUUUGGUAGAGCCACUGUGCUGUGCCAGGGCUUCCCUUCAUCUGCCAUCAGUUUUGCUUGGACUCUCCUAAACCCACAGGCUGGAAAGGCUGAGUCAUCCAAACAGCAAGUAUGGCAGUCUGCCUCUGUCUCCAGAACUUUGUCUCAUCCCAGGCUGUCUCAUGGGCCAAGAUGGCUGUAGGACCGUCAGCCUACACCAGCAACCAUGUGCAUUUCAAAGAUCAAGAAGGAGGAAAGAUGCAAGGUCAAAGUGGCUCACACAGCUGUGUCAGCCUCAUCUGAACAGUCUCCCCAAAGUCCCGUCAAUACUUCUGGUUACACCCAAUUGUCUUGAAUGUUUUCUAGUCAUUAUUAGCUUCAAUAGGGGUCAGGAACUAUAACCAUUGUGUAUGGUAAGUUGCUGUUUGAAUAAAACUGAAUCUCUGUCUUUAAGAAUGAAAGAAAAAUAAAAACUAUGGCAAUAACCAGUGCUCUUUUUCUGCACUAAAUUCAAAGAUAACAAGGAGAAAAUGGAGUUUGUCUCAGGUGAAGUGGCACUUAUUUUCCAAGCAAAGCCUCUUUUGGUGUUUAUUUAUUUUCAGAUCAGAUGGGAAAAAGUCUUGGUUCUGACAAGCACUCUUUUUAUGACCAAAGGUUAGUUAAGCUUAACUUAACUCUCUUCUUGACUUAGUCAACCUUGGCUUGUUGCCCUGCUCCUGGUCUGAGAAGCUUAUUUUCAGAAAUGCUGCUAAGAUUGCUUAGUAAAAAUCCACAUAUUUUUU